rnacentral:rRNA from 1 species
CCUACGGGGGGCAGCAGUGGGGAAUAUUGCACAAUGGGGGAAACCCUGAUGCAGCGACGCCGCGUGAGUGAAGAAGUAAUUCGUUAUGUAAAGCUCUAUCAGCAGGGAAGAAAAUGACGGUAGCUGAGUAAGAAGCACCGGCUAACUACGUGCCCGCAGCCGCGGUAAUACGUAGGGGGCAAGCGUUAUCCGGAUUUACGGGGUGUAAAGGGAGAGUAGACGGCAGUGCAAGUCUGGAGUGAAAGGCGGGGGCUGAACCCCCGGACUGCCCUGGAAACUGUACGGCUGGAGUGCAGGAGAGGUAAGUGGAAGUCGUAGUGUAGCGGUGAAAUGCAUAGAUAUAUGGAGGAACACCAGUGGCGAAGGCGACGAUCUGGCCUGCAACUGACGCUCAGUCCCGAAAGCGUGGGGAGCAAAUAGGAUUAGAUACCCGUGUAGUC